UACGGAGGGUGCAAGCGUUAUCCGGAUUCACUGGGUUUAAAGGGUGCGUAGGUGGGCUAGUAAGUCCGUGGUGAAAUCUCUGAGCUUAACUCGGAAACUGCCGUGGAUACUAUUAGUCUUGAAUCUCGUGGAGGUAAGCGGAAUAUGUCAUGUAGCGGUGAAAAUGCUUAGAUAUGACAUAGAACACCGAUAGCGAAGGCAGCUUGCUACACGAGUAUUGACACUGAGGCACGAAAGCGUGGGGAUCAAACAGG
rnacentral:rRNA from 1 species